UGGUGGGAAGCUUUCCUGAGUGGAGUUAAAC
rnacentral:piRNA from 1 species